GCCCCUCACGUAAGGUUUCCAGUGAGACAGAAAGUCACUCAGACUCGUGAGCCUGUACCAAGCAGCAGGCAUGAGAAGGGAAAUAAGGUAGACAUCAGUAGACCAAUGAGGUGGAGGUGGAAGCUGCUGAAGAAUGGGGAGAGAAAUGGCUGAGCCAGGCUGGUUUGGAAUCAGACUCUAAACUGCCAGAUCCAGCUACCUAAGAUGCCCCCUGCCACAGGGAAGGCACAUCGCAGCCUUCUUGGGCUUAAGAAUACUAGGCAGCACUUCAAGCACUUCGCUGGGGGCCAUUUUAAACUGCAAAACCACCAACAAUAAAUAAAAAAUUUGGAAAAACCGUGGCAUCACACAGACUGCGAGAGGGACACUUGUUUAUAGGAUGAGAGCUGAAACAAGAAGGCAGUGUCCUGUUAUUUCAACUCAGCUGGGAACAUGCUUGUCAGUGUCUACAGUUUUUCACCACUUUUCACAUGCCUGGGAAUGACCACAAAAGCACCGCAGAGAGGUGAAUAGAGGAGUCUGUUCUAGUAAGCAGGAGCAGCAAAUACUCAGAGAUUCGGAAGUGGGAGAACACAAGCAGCCUGGGAGGCUCUGCAUGUGUCAGGGAGAAGAGGAAAAGGCUGCCAUGAUGGAGGCUCUUCAAUGACACUCGGCUAUCCUGCAAGCGUCUUCUUCCUUGGGCCGGGGUGCUCACCUGUCUUGUGGUUGCCCACCGUCUUUUGAACACUUACCCUAUGCUGGAGGAAUUUUCCACAUUGUGAGUCUCACCUCCUCCAGCCAGAAGCAGGAACUCCUUCCCCAGCAUCCCUUGCCAGUAGGGAGCGGGCUGUGACCACCCACUCAGAGGUGGGCUAGAUAACAGGUGAAAGGGCACGGAUGGGACAUGGCUACAGGACGCGAGCCUGGGUCUGCAGUGGGAGCCCCUGUCAGCAUGGAUUGGGUGAUAUUCCAUGGGAAUACGAGCCCAGUAUUGGCCAGAACCCCCUACUUCCCUCUUCCAAAAGCCCCAUAUCUAUCUAGAUUUUCGCACAAAGUUCAAUUUUGAAAUCUGGGUAUAUAAUUUAAAAAGCAUUUUUAAAAGCCAGUGGGCCACAGAGCACAGAGCACAUCUGCAGGUCGCAGAGGACCUGCACGGCAACCUUUUUAGCGGGAGCUAUUCCAGGGUGAGGGUACGGGCGCCCUACUUGAUCCCUUUCUUUCCCUACAUGAUCAGCCUGUCUGUACCCUUCAGAAGUGAUGUGGACUGAGCUUGCCUCUCUUUUAAUAAAAAUUUAUAUAUGUCUGUGUUCCAA